CCAAACAUUUUGUUUUUGGAUCUUUGCACUUAAUAACAGAGAAAAAAAAAUCUUCCUCCCGAUCUUCACUUGACAAUCACAUCCUCCCUGCAGGCAAACUCCUGCUCUGUCUAUCGCCUUUAAAAAGAGAAGAAACACUUUUGACGCUCCAGACACGACUAAUCAAUGCACACUCUUGACCAGCCAACCUGCAGGUCGUGACCUUGUGGGAUUUGAAUUGUCUCCAGAAACCCGCAAAGGCCAAGGGGGUAGAGAUUAGCGACGAGGGUGUGGCGAGGUUUGUUUGUGAGCAGAGGGAAGGCUCGUGAUCAUAUUCACUAUGAGAAGGGCAUGUAAAUGUGAUUGCUGACGACCACGCAGCAAAAGCAUGGCCCCAUUGUGUUGUGACCCUUUCGAGUAAAUAGGAGUGACCUUGUUUGCCUCUGCUGCUACGGGACAUAACUAUGUUAAAUACAGUAUGAGAGGUUAACACACAGGAUGAGUGGAAGCUUUUCUUCAUUGAUGGAGGGCAGGGUGUCGCCCACAGCUGCUGUGGCCUCGUGACCUGCUGAGGGGCAUUUCAUUAUAUAUUUAUUUACACAUUUACUGAGCUGAAACUAAUCCAUAAUGUAAGCUCCUUAUCUAUAGUACAAUUUUGACCAAAAAAAAAAAAGGUAAAACCUGAGCAGAUUAUUCACAGUUUGUCCCGCAACCCAAACCCUGUUUAUUAUCCCUCACAAAUAUAGAAGUCCCUCAUUAUUAUUAUUUUUAUUUUUUUCUAUCUAUCCAUUUUCAGUUCAGGUCAGCCAAUUUAUCACAGUACACAUGUGGAAAGGACAAACUGAUAUUUGGACCAUCACUUGGUGGGAAUUGAACCCUUGCAGCCUGCAUAAAAGAUGCAUAAAAGAUAGAAUACAUUUUAGAAGAAUGAAACAUGAAAAACAGAUGUGUGUGUUAUAUAAGUACAAAGAUGUAAAAAUAUAAGUCAUGUCAUAUGAGGUCGCCUUACA